AUUGAACGCUGGCGGCAGGCCUAACACAUGCAAGUCGAGCGGAUGAAGGGAGCUUGCUCCUGGAUUCAGCGGCGGACGGGUGAGUAAUGCCUAGGAAGCUGCCUGGUAGUGGGGGAUAACGUCCGGAAACGGGCGCUAAUACCGCAUACGUCCUGAGGUAGAAAGGGGGGGAUCUUCGGACCUCACGCUAUCAGAUGAGCCUAGGUCGGAUUAGCUAGUUGGUGGGGUAAAGGCCUACCAAGGCGACGAUCCGUAACUGGUCUGAGAGGAUGAUCAGUCACACUGGAACUGAGACACGGUCCAGACUCCUACGGGAGGCAGCAGUGGGGAAUAUUGGACAAUGGGCGAAAGCCUGAUCCAGCCAUGCCGCGUGUGUGAAGAAGGUCUUCGGAUUGUAAAGCACUUUAAGUUGGGAGGAAGGGCAGUAAGUUAAUAUCUUGCUGUUUUGACGUUACCAACAGAAUAAGCACCGGCUAACUUCGUG
rnacentral:rRNA from 1 species